rnacentral:misc_RNA from 1 species
AGUGUUCCGUUUUCUUAGGAUCCUCUGCGAAAUGCAUAAAAUAGGUCAAUGAACAAAGAGAAAACCUAAAACCCAAAUUCAUCUACAAAGAAAUUUCAUUAACAAAAAUUAAAAUUCUAAUUAUCAAAACAAAAACUAAAAUUCUUUUGAUAUAAUUAGUUAAAACCACAAGUAACCUAUUUUGUGUAGACCAUUUCAAGAAAACCUCAAUAGUCAUCAACCAAGAGAUGAAGUGGGAAUCUAGCUGUGGAUGAUGCAGUGCUAAGAAAAUAGAACACGACCCAGAAUCUAAAAACAUAAAGAUUAAUGAAAUUGACAGUUCUAAUCUCAAAACAGAUUACCAAAGAAAUCAUAAGUGAGAGAGAUAGAAACCCAGAAUCCAAAAACUCUAAAUAAUGCAAAACAAUAACAAACAUUAAGCACAAAAGAGAACCCAAAAGAGAAAGGGAUGAUACUGACUUGGAUCACGAACAGUGGCUUUAA